AUUGAACGCUGGCGGCAGGCCUAACACAUGCAAGUCGAACGAGUGGCGGACGGGUGAGUAAUGUCUGGGAACCUGCCUGUUGGAGGGGGAUAACUACUGGAACCGGUAGCUAAUACCGCAUACCAUCAGAUGUGCCAAGAUGGGAUUAGCUAGUUGGUGGGGUAACGGCUCACCAAGGCGACGAUCCCUAGCUGGUCUGAGAGGAUGACCAGCCACACUGGAACUGAGACACGCUCCAGACUCCUACGGGAGGCAGCAGUGGGGAAUAUUGGACAAUGGGCGAAAGCCUGAUCCAGACAUGCCGUGUGUGUGAAGAAGGUCUUCGGAUUGUAAAGCACUUUAAGUUGGGAGGCGUUACCAACAGAAUAAGCACCGGCUAACUACGUGCCAGCCGCCGCGGUAAUUC
rnacentral:rRNA from 1 species